rnacentral:rRNA from 1 species
GACGAACGCUGGCGGCGCGCUUAACACAUGCAAGUCGAACGGAAAGGCCUGCUUUCCCUUGUGGAUUGCGGGUACUCGAGUGGCGAACGGGUGAGUAACACGUGAGUGAUCUGCCCCCAACUUGGGUAUAAGCCUGGGAAACUGAGGCUAAUUCCCGAUAGGACUGCAGGGUGGUGCCUGUGGUGGAAAACGAUUUUCUAGUGGUUGGGGAUGAGCUCGCGGCCUAUCAGCUUGUUGGUGGGGUAAUGGCCUACCAAGGCGGCGACGGGUAGCCGGCCUGAGAGGGUGGACGGCCACAUUGGGACUGAGAUACGGCCCAGACUCCUACGGGAGGCAGCAGUGGGGAAUAUUGGACAAUGGGCGGAAGCCUGAUGCAGCGACGCCGCGUGGGGGAUGACGGCCUUCGGGUUGUAAACUCCUUUCGACCGCGAGGAAGCCACCUGGUUGGAAGGGUGGUGACGGUAGUGGUAGAAGAAGCACCGGCUAACUACGUG